rnacentral:lncRNA from 1 species
CCCAUCUCUACCAGAGAUGCUCUCAGAGUCUGUUACCAGCAGUAGGAUUUUCUCUGCUGAGGAAUGGGCCUCUGAAUAUUUUUUCUGAAACUUGGUCAAAAUACAGCUGAAAACAAGCACUGAAUUUUCAAGAGACUGCUCUGUAUGUCUCUUCAGAUCAGCAACCACCAUGCAGAGGAUAAUUUUAUGUGACCUCUGUUGGCAGAACAGACAGACUGGCUACUACCCGAUCAUCUGCAAUUUGGAUAGACCAUCUUAAUUGACACCAAUAUCACCUCCGAUCUGGGAGGGACUGGCACCUUGCCAGUUUGGCAUGUAGAUGGAAUAAGACAUUUUGGUUAAUGCUAAUAAUGCUCUGUUUUGUUUAUGGCUGGUAGCUAACUGCUGUCUUCCCGUGCACUAGAUAAAGCUCAUAAGGUUGUUGAUUUAUUUGUAAUGGCUUAAUUAAUCUGGUAAUUAGAUUAAUUGUUUUUGUUUAUAUCAAAGUAAAUUAAAA